CGAUCCGCAUCUCCUUGUCGGGCAGGAGUGGGGGACCCAGGUUCCAUGCCGAGGCUGGUCUCAGCAACGGCUCGGGGUGAAGGCGCACAGCGCCGGAGCACUUUCCAGCUCCAACCCGACAGCUCACCUCACAGGCGUGGGAAAGAGAGCGU
rnacentral:sRNA from 1 species